GAUGAACGCUGGCGGCGUGCCUAAUACAUGCAAGUCGAGCGAACAGACGAGGAGCUUGCUCCUCUGACGUUAGCGGCGGACGGGUGAGUAACACGUGGAUAACCUACCUAUAAGACUGGGAUAACUUCGGGAAACCGGAGCUAAUACCGGAUAAUAUAUUGAACCGCAUGGUUCAAUAGUGAAAGACGGUUUUGCUGUCACUUAUAGAUGGAUCCGCGCCGCAUUAGCUAGUUGGUAAGGUAACGGCUUACCAAGGCAACGAUGCGUAGCCGACCUGAGAGGGUGAUAGGCCACACGAGAGCUGAGACACGGUCCAGACGCCUACGGGAGGCAGCAGUAGGGAAUCUUCCGCAAUGGGCGAGAGCCUGACGGAGCAACGCCGCGUGAGUGAUGAAGGUCUUCGGAUCGUAAAACUCUGUUAUUAGGGGAGAACAAAUGUGUAAGUAACUAUGCACGUCUUGACGGUACCUAAUCAGAAAGCCACGGCUAACUACGUG
rnacentral:rRNA from 1 species